rnacentral:rRNA from 1 species
GAUGAACGCUGGCGGCGCGCCUUAUACAUGCAAGUCGAGUGGGUUUAGACCCACGGCAAACGGGUGAGUAGCACGUAGGUACUUUCCUUGUCACAGGAAUAACCCUCCGAAAGGAGGGCUAAUACCUGAUGUGAUCGCAAGAUUAAAGGGUAUCCGCAAGGAUUACCGGACAAGAAGAGGCCUGCGGCCUAUCAGCUAGUUGGCGGGGUAAAUGCCCACCAAGGCUAUGACGGGUAGCUGGUCUUAUGAGGAUGAUCAGUCACAUGGGCACUGAGACACGGGCCCAACUCCUACGGGAGGCAGCAGUAGGGAAUUUUGCGCAAUGGGCGAAAGCCUGACGCAGCGACGCCGCGUGCGGGAUGAAGGCCUUCGGGUCGUAAACCGCUUUUAUAAGGGACGAACUUUGACGGUACCUUAUGAAUAAGAGGUUGCUAACUCUGUG